AAUGAACUUCAACUUGAUGUGUGUAUAUAUAUUAACACCUUCUAGUGUCUUCUCUAUCUAUUCCAAUUUAGAGAUAGAGUUUUUAUUUUAUACGUUUUUCUCUCUUUUCUUUCUUUAUAAACUCUAACCCUUCAAAACUUUGUUUUCCCUAGCCUCACUAUAUUUCACCUCCUAUAGAAAAAUUUGGUCUUAUACAUUUUUCUUUAGACCUUAAUCAUUUCUUGGUUCAUUCUACUCAGCUAGAUUUUCUAGUUUUAUUCAUCUAUACAUGAUUUUUUAAUCAUGAAAGGUUUACAAGAUGUGGCUGAUUUUUGGAGAUGAGAAAUGAGUAUGCGCAGGGAAUUUGAUCAAAUAUUUAAUAUGUGGAAGAAUGCAUGGCAAAAAGGGUUUCAUUGGUUAGUAUAGUUGUGGAAAUAUGUGAUCAUGAGACAUUUCAUGUUGACAGAAGAGAGAGAGCACAACCCGGGAAUGGUUUAAAGAGAGUCUUUGCUUUUGUCGGGAGUGUGCUCUCCCUUCUUCUGUCAUCAUCACAUCACUUACUAUAUACUUUCCAUGCUUUGCUAUAUGCACCACUAUCUCAUACCAAUCAAGCAAACCUAGGUUCUGACCUUUUGGGUUCUGAAGUUACAAGUCUGAGUUCUGAACUCGUAGGUUCUGACCUAGUAGGAUUUGAACAUCUGGUUCUGUUAUUUUUCUGUUUUGUUAGUUAGAAGUUAGUUGUCAAUUAGUUGUUACAUCUGACUAAGUUUGUUAGUUAGUUAGUUACUUAACAUUUCAGUAUAGAUAAACACUUGUAAUCUCAUUUUGUUAAUAAUGCAAUUUUACUCUUUUCUCUAAAUUCAUCUUAACUCAUAUUUUCUCAACCCUCUCAAACUAUCUCCAAUAAAGUAGUAUCUAGAACAAUAAGAUUCAGGCAAGAAAGUGUUGCAAGAUUGAUUAGCCAUGACUUGGGAAUGACAAUUUUCAUACAAACUUAUCAGUUAUUGAAUGAAAGAAUUUGGACAAAUGGAUUAUCCAAAUAAAGGUAAUUUUUGGAGUUCAAGAAGUGUUUGAGGUGGUGAACAAUGGUGUGGAGGCACUACCAGCAAAUCCUACAGAAGUGCUUAGGGCUGCAUUAAAGAGGGCAAAAAAAUAAUUGUAAAGCCUUGUUCUACAUUCAUCAAUGUGUAUAGAUAGCAAAGUUUUUGGGAAAAUUACAGAUGCAUAAAGUUUAAAAGAUGCAUGAGACACCCUCGUGAAGUACUAUGGUGGUGAUCCAAAGGUCAAGGACUCAAGGUGUAAUUGUAUAACCUUUUUGUGUUAGAAAUUUAUUUUUUAAUUAAGUGCUUUUAAAAAAUUUCUUAUCUUCAAUUUAGAGCUUUCAAGUAUUUGUAA